rnacentral:piRNA from 1 species
UAUGACAACUAUUUAAAAAAA